AUGAACGCUGGCGGCGUGCCUAAUCCCUGCCAGUCGAGCGAACGGACGAGAAGCUUGCUUCUCUGAUGUUAGCGGCGGACGGGUGAGUAACACGUGGAUAACCUACCUAUAAAACUGGGAUAACUUCGGGAAACCGGAGCUAAUACCGGAUAAUAUUUUGAACCGCAUGGUUCAAAAGUGAAAGACGGUCUUGCUGUCACUUAUAGAUGGAUCCGCGCUGCAUUAGCUAGUUGGUAAGGUAACGGCUUACCAAGGCAACGAUGCAUAGCCGACCUGAGAGGGUGAUCGGCCACACUGGAACUGAGACACGGUCCAGACUCCUACGGGAGGCAGCAGUAGGGAAUCUUCCGCAAUGGGCGAAAGCCUGACGGAGCAACGCCGCGUGAGUGAUGAAGGUCUUCGGAUCGUAAAACUCUGUUAUUAGGGAAGAACAUAUGUGUAAGUAACUGUGCACAUCUUGACGGUACCUAAUCAGAAAGCCACGGCUAACUACGUG
rnacentral:rRNA from 1 species